rnacentral:rRNA from 1 species
UACGGGGGGGGGCAAGCGUUGUUCGGAAUUACUGGGCGUAAAGGGCUCGUAGGCGGUUCAGUCAGUCGGGUGUGAAAUCUCCGGGCUCCACUCGGAGGGGCCACCCGAUACUGCUGUGACUCGAGUCCGGUAGGGGAGUGGGGAAUUCCUGGUGUAGCGGUGGAAAUGCGCAGAUAUCAGGAGGAACACCGGUGGCGAAGGCGGUUCUCUGGGCCUGUACUGACGCUGAGGAGCGAAAGCGUGGGGAGCGAACAGG